UACGAAGGGGGCUAGCGUUGCUCGGAAUCACUGGGCGUAAAGCGCACGUAGGCGGACUCUUAAGUCAGGGGUGAAAUCCUGGAGCUCAACUCCAGAACUGCCUUUGAUACUGGGAGUCUUGAGUUCGGGAGAGGUGAGUGGAACUGCGAGUGUAGAGGUGAAAUUCGUAGAUAUUCGCAAGAACACCAGUGGCGAAGGCGGCUCGCUGGACCGGUUCUGACGCUGAUGCGCGAAAGCGUGGGGAGCAAACGGG
rnacentral:rRNA from 1 species